GGAUUGUGUGUUUUUUGUGUGUGUGUGUGUCAGUCUUUCAGUGAUUGUGCGUGUUUGUGUGUGUGUGUAUGGGUGGGUGUAGCAUGUGUGUUAACAGUAUGUGUUUGUAGUUUUCUGAGUGUAGCCUAACACAGAGACUGUGGUGUAUGUUGACUGUUAGGUGGAUCAUGGAACAGCACUGUUGAGCCGCUAGAGGUGCCACUUGUGAGUCGUGCUGACUGUGAGCGUUAUAACACCGGUAGACUGACCCCUAGGAUGCUGUGUGCUGGGCCGCCACAGCAUCGUGGACUGGACACGUGCACGGGUCCAGGUGAUUCUGGGGGAGCACUGGUGUGUCAGAGAGAGAACUCUGGUUACUUUGUCCUGGGAGUGAGCAGCCGAAAGGAAGGCUGUGGGAAGUUUCAGAGGCCAGGAGUCUACACCUCAGUCCCCAUGAUAACAGACUGGAUCCACGAACAACUCCACGAAGAUUCAGCUGACUCCUCUAAAACCCUGCCAUACCAGAAGCAGCAGGAGGAGCUGGCCUUCAGCAUAGAUUAUGAUGAUAAUAACUAUGGAGCGGAGUCAUCUGGAGAAUCCUGUUAGCCUUGACCCACCUAGCUUGAGGCUGGAGGGCCAUGUGGUAUUCUAACGGAGUCAAGCUGCUUUUUGUUGCUUGCAUAUACCGCUCAGAAAUGAAGCAGACACAGCGGAUCUAACAGAGACAUGAUUUGAAAAAGGGAACAUCCAAUCAGCACAAAUUCCAUGGAUUUGUGGGAAGGGCUAUGGAACAAUUGUAUCGUCAUACUGUCUGUCUGUCUGUCUGUCACACGCACGCACGCACGCACACACACACACACACAUACACACACACGUACACACACAAACCUUUUCUUUGUAAACCAGUGUUCAACCACUGAGUGAUCUGACACUGGAGUGAUAAUAUUAAAUUAUAGCAUCAUCAACAUGCCUGGAGAUAUUUUAAUUAAUUAGACAGUGUGCAGGAGCACACAUGCACACACGCACACAAACCUUUUCCAGUGCUAAACCGGUGCUCAAGCCCUGAGUGAUCUGACACUGAAGUGAUUUUGGAUCAUUCACCUCCUCAUCUGGAUCACUCAACUGUGCUUUGUCAUGGCUCUGUCAAAGUGAGUUCCUCUCUCCUAUUGGUCCGUCAGCCCUCCAUUAACUCCCCUUCCUCUAGGUAGCCUUGGUGCAAAGGCCUGACUCCAGGGCCUGGCUCCAUAUGUUUGACACCCCUGUAACGAAAUUAUCCUUGGUUACAGCUCAACAGGAGUUGUUUUCAAGGCUACGAUGCUGAAGUCGACUGAAAGAAAACCUCCAAAGUCACCUAGGGGUGGCAGGUAGCCUAGCAGUUAGGAGCGUUGGUCCCGUACCUGAAAGGUCAUUGGUUUGAAUCCCUGAGACAAAUAGGUGAAAAUGUGCCCUGAACCCUAGUUGCUCAGGAUAAGUGUUUCUGCUAAAUUAUGUAAAUGUCUAGUGGAAGUAUGCUUUGUCAUUCGAAAUACUGGUAACUUCCUGACACUGAAAGGAUAGUCAGAUAAGUGGAAAGAUGGCAUGGAGAAUAUUACCUGAUGAGACCAGUUCUAUGCAAUUCAGCUUUUGAGGGUUGUUCACACACAGACAGAUGAUGCAAUAUCUACUUGACUGAAAGGACAAACACAUUCAGACAGAUGAAACCUGAGGGGUACACUAUAAAGCAGGAUCAAGGAGUUAGCCAGCUAAUUUGCCCAAGUAUUCUGAUAUAACUUUUAUAUUUUUUAUAAAGAUAAGCUUGAAAUGGGCAUGGUCGAAUUGAUUUAAUAUCAAUGUUUCACUUUUUUUUAUUAACCAUAAAAUCAAUAGUUAUUUCUGGUUACUUAUUAGCUGGCUAACUGAUGGAUCCUACCUUGCAGUAUACCCUUCUGAUCUCCACCCCAGACAUAAAGUGCUUCCACCUUACAUCCAGGUUCAUGUAGAGACCAUGUCUAGUUGUUACUAUAUUAAUAAAGGUUACAGGAAGUGUUGAUUGCUGAAAGUACACAAACUCUAUCAAUGUACCAAAAACACAUGGACGUACUGGACUGGACACAGCUGGUAUGCAGGUCCUCAGGAGGAAAUUAAAACUUCAGUCUUCUCCAGAUAAUGUGGUACCACCUGCUGGUAGGAACAAGGUCACUGUCUGUUGGAUUCAAUGAAAUCAACCCGCAGAGGGAUAGUUUUAUUGGGCCAAAAGUAAUCUUCUAAAACUAUAAACAAAGAUGAAGAAAUCUAUUCAGAGCCUGCGCCUGUUCAUGUAACGCCCUGGCCAUAGAGAGGGUUUUUUGUUCUCUAUUUUUGGUUUGGCCAGGGUGUGACAUGGGUGAGCGUUCUAGGUUUCUUUUUCUAUGUUGGUGUUUUUCUUUGUUUCGGCCGUGUAUGGCUCUCAAUCAGGAACAGGUGUAGAUCGUUGUUGCUGAUUGGGAGUCAUACAUAGGCAAACUGUUUUUCCUUUGGGGUUUGUGGGUGAAUGUUUUCUGUCUAGUAUUUUGUUAUUCCUGACAGAACUGUUUGGCUGUCAUUUUCGUGUUUUCUUUUACUAGUGUUCAUUUGGUCAUUAAAAUCAUUUAAGAUGAACAGUUGUCUGACCAAUGCUUCAACUUCUA
rnacentral:lncRNA from 1 species